CCUACGGAGGGCAGCAGUGGGGAAUAUUGGACAAUGGGGGGAACCCUGAUCCAGCCAUGCCGCGUGUGUGAAGAAGGCCCUCGGGUUGUAAAGCACUUUCAGUGAGGAAGAACGCCUGGUGGUUAAUACCCAUCAGGAAAGACAUCACUCACAGAAGAAGCACCGGCUAACUCCGUGCCAGCAGCCGCGGUAAUACGGAGGGUGCGAGCGUUAAUCGGAAUUACUGGGUGUAAAGCGCGCGUAGGUGGCUUGAUAAGCCGGUUGUGAAAGCCCCGGGCUCAACCUGGGAACGGCAUCCGGAACUGUCAAGCUAGAGUGCAGGAGAGGAAGGUAGAAUUCCCGGUGUAGCGGUGAAAUGCGUAGAGAUCGGGAGGAAUACCAGUGGCGAAGGCGGCCUUCUGGACUGACACUGACACUGAGGUGCGAAAGCGUGGGUAGCAAACAGGAUUAGAUACCCUGGUAGUC
rnacentral:rRNA from 1 species